rnacentral:tRNA from 1 species
AAGAGAGUUAGUCUAACCAAGACA